GAUUAAGUCAAAUUAAGAGCUGUUGCAAUAUUGAGGGUUAAUAUACUUCACGUGUUAGUGAAGGGUGUUAGGGUGGAGAUGAAUCUGCGAUAAUUGUUUCGUCUGAAUACAGUUUCGUUUUUGCCAGAGUUCUCCCAAUUUCUGUGGAAUUCCGUGUCUGGCGAAAAUACUUUACGAGUUUAGUGUCGGGAUCACUGCAUAUUCGAUAGUUAAGGCUUCAAAGUUAUGAAUAGAACUGCUCCCCAAUGUGCAAGACAUACCAUCUUUCUGCUUUAUUUUUUAUAGGUUAAGAUAAGAUAGGGGUUAGAGUUCGUCGAGCGAGCUCCACGCUGCGCGGAGAUUCAGGAAUAACCACGAACUAGUUCAAGAUAUUGUGAUACGCGCGCACAUCUAUAAUAUUCAAAUCAACAAACAGAAAAAAUCUAACAUGAUGGACGCAAUUGGCAAGACUAAUGUAAGACAAUUAGUUCUCCUUGACUGAUACAUGUACAUUAUUGUACAUAUUUAUAUCGGUAUUUCAUUGGAUAAUUUUGUAUGUGAGAUACCUCUUUUUCUUAAAUAUUACUGAUCUAUUCUAUAUCCAAAAUUAAAAAGUUUUUAUAUUUACAAGAAUAAAAAGGAACAAAAUGA